GGGGAUGUAGCUCAGUGGUAGAGUACUUGCCUAGUAUGUGGUGAGGCCCUAGGUUUAAUCCCCAGCUUCCCCC
rnacentral:tRNA from 1 species